GCAGCCAGUGGUCACGGAACAGCCUGUAAGACUCCAGAGAAGCCAUUUUACAACAAUGAGACACUCAACAACACCGAUAUUCUAUACAUAUACAACGAGACCAGCCAGGAAUGCGAGUUUGUCCUCAUUGACAAAAAUAUCAGCGGCACAUUCAAAAGCCGCAUAGAGUGCAUGCAAUGCUGCAAUACGGACCAAAAGAUCGAUGGUCCGUCUUGCACCGGUAAGCCGAUAGGCGUCUGCAAUGAGUCUGCUCCGGAACCAAGCUUGGACAGCUACGAUAGCGAAUAUUACGGCUACGGACCACAGUGCGACUACUCAGAUAACGAAACCUACGUUGCCUCCUUUUACAACACAACUUCAGGUGAAUGUGAAGAAUACUGCGCUUGCUCAUAUCCAGACAACAGAACGGAUGAUUUGAAUUUCCAUGUGGGAUUGCAUAAUUGCGAAUUUCAAUGCAGCGGCUAUAACCAAUAUAUGGAGUCAAAAAAGCAAAACAAUAUCACUGUCUAAAGGAAACCUGCCUUAUUCUUAAAAAGAAGAAGAAUUUGUCUUGACCCGGAUUCAUCAAUUUAUCUAUCAAAUUCGGAUACAUCCUGUUCUGUAGAAACAUAUUCACUCAGUUUAUUCUGAAGAAACAACCGGUGCGCUGUUCAUCUAAGUGUUCUAAAGGGCGAAAUGCUUGGUUUACUAUCAUGUGAAUUUGACAA